CUGUCCCGGCAGCUCAGCCAGUAAGGGGUAGGUAGAGCUGAGGUUCGAACCCACACAGUCACAUAGAAGAUGGAGUUGGAUGGAAAAUUCGUGCUCUUUAUACUACAUAUCAACACUAUGCUUUGCAUAUCAUGACACCUUGCAACUUAGGUGCGAUGCUUAAGUAUGACUGUGGUCAGGCUGUUUUCCAAGUUUGUGCGGCCACCUGUUCAGGUAUAUGGUAUCAAAGGUCGCUAUGCCACUGCUCUUUAUUCUGCUGCAUCUAAACAGAAUAAACUGGAACAAGUAGAGAAAGAAUUGUUGAGAGUAGCGCAAAUCUUGAAGGAACCCAAAAUGGCUGCUUCCAUUAUGAAUCCCUAUAUAAAGCAUUCCGUGAAAGUGAAAAGCCAUGACAUGAGCACAAAAGAGAGGUUCUUUCCUCUCACAUCCAACCUGAUCAAUUUGCUUGCUGAGAAUGGUCGCUUGGACAAUACCCCUGGAGUCAUUUCUGCCUUUUUGACCAUGAUGAGCAUCCACUGUGGAGAAGUACUGUGCACAGUGACCACUGCAUCUCCUUUAGAUGAAGCCACUCUUCCUGAAUUAAAAACGGUCCUGAAGAGCUUCCUAAGUAAAGGCCAAGUCUUGAAAUUGGAAGUUAAGACUGACCCAUCAAUCAUGGGUGGAAUGAUUGUCCGUAUUGGAGAGAGAUACGCUGAUAUGUCUGCGAAAACCAAGAUUCAGAAGCUCAGCAGGGCCAUGCGGGAAGUUUUCUGAAAGUGUUGAUUUUCUGUCAGUGAAAAUUCCUAAACUUGGAGCAACAAUAAAAUGCUUCCUAAACAGAAAAAAAAAGUGCUAUGAAAAGCAAACUACAUGACAUUUCAGAGUUCAGAGAUUUGAUUAGAUCAUUUAAAUAAAGUUUUUGCCAAAGAACUGAACACAUGAAAUGAAUGGUAGCAUCAUUGUGAAGAUUUUCA